AGAGAUUAAACAUAAGAGUUUGAUCCUGGCUCAGAUUGAACGCUGGCGGCAUGCUUUACACAUGCAAGUCGGACGGCAGCACAGAGAAGCUUGCUUCUUGGGUGGCGAGUGGCGAACGGGUGAGUAAUAUAUCGGAACGUACCGAGUAGUGGGGGAUAACUAAUCGAAAGAUUAGCUAAUACCGCAUAUUCUCUAAGGAGGAAAGCCGGGGACCUUCGGGCCUGGCGCUAUUUGAGCGGCCGAUAUCUGAUUAGCUGGUUGGUGGGGUAAAGGCCUACCAAGGCGACGAUCAGUAGCGGGUCUGAGAGGAUGAUCCGCCACACUGGGACUGAGACACGGCCCAGACUCCUACGGGAGGCAGCAGUGGGGAAUUUUGGACAAUGGGCGCAAGCCUGAUCCAGCCAUGCCGCGUGUCUGAAGAAGGCCUUCGGGUUGUAAAGGACUUUUGUCAGGGAAGAAAAGGCAGUUGCUAAUAUCAGCUGCUGAUGACGGUACCUGAAGAAUAAGCACCGGCUAACUACGUGCCAGCAGCCGCGGUAAUACGUAGGGUGCGAGCGUUAAUCGGAAUUACUGGGCGUAAAGCGAGCGCAGACGGUUAGUUAAGCAAGAUGUGAAAUCCCCGGGCUCAACCUGGGAACUGCGUUUUGAACUGGCUGGCUAGAGUGUGUCAGAGGGGGGUAGAAUUCCACGUGUAGCAGUGAAAUGCGUAGAGAUGUGGAGGAAUACCGAUGGCGAAGGCAGCCCCCUGGGAUAACACUGACGUUCAUGCUCGAAAGCGUGGGUAGCAAACAGGAUUAGAUACCCUGGUAGUCCACGCCCUAAACGAUGUCAAUUAGCUGUUGGGCAACUUGAUUGCUUAGUAGCGUAGCUAACGCGUGAAAUUGACCGCCUGGGGAGUACGGUCGCAAGAUUAAAACUCAAAGGAAUUGACGGGGACCCGCACAAGCGGUGGAUGAUGUGGAUUAAUUCGAUGCAACGCGAAGAACCUUACCUGGUCUUGACAUGUACGGAAUCCUCCAGAGACGGAGGAGUGCCUUCGGGAGCCGUAACACAGGUGCUGCAUGGCUGUCGUCAGCUCGUGUCGUGAGAUGUUGGGUUAAGUCCCGCAACGAGCGCAACCCUUGUCAUUAGUUGCCAUCAUUUGGUUGGGCACUCUAAUGAGACUGCCGGUGACAAGCCGGAGGAAGGUGGGGAUGACGUCAAGUCCUCAUGGCCCUUAUGACCAGGGCUUCACACGUCAUACAAUGGUCGGUACAGAGGGUAGCCAAGCCGCGAGGUGGAGCCAAUCUCACAAAACCGAUCGUAGUCCGGAUUGCACUCUGCAACUCGAGUGCAUGAAGUCGGAAUCGCUAGUAAUCGCAGGUCAGCAUACUGCGGUGAAUACGUUCCCGGGUCUUGUACACACCGCCCGUCACACCAUGGGAGUGGGGGAUACCAGAAGUAGAUAGGGUAACCGUAAGGAGCCCGUUUACCACGGUAUGCUUCAUGACUGGGGUGAAGUCGUAACAAGGUAGCCGUAGGGGAACCUGCGGCUGGAUCACCUCCUUUCUA
rnacentral:rRNA from 2 species